rnacentral:lncRNA from 1 species
AGCAAGAAUGAGUGGAGGGGGUACCUGUGGGCCCCACAAGCCUGGGUGGCGUGGCCAGGGGGGUGCCCGCGCCCCUAGGGCUUGUGGCCCACUGGUGUGGCCCCCAGACAGACUCUUUGUCCAAGUAUUUUACAAAUAUUCCAAAAAAAAUCAUACUAGAUUUUCACAGUGUUCGGAGAACUUUUAUUUUCGGGGUACUUUUCUACCGGACGCUAAAACAAAAAACAGGGAAACUAAACUAAAUCUAUCAUUUUUCUUCUAAGCAAUCUAAAGUGAAAGCUUGGAACAGAGGUUUGUGACUCCUCGAUUCAUCCAUCUCAUGGUCAUCGAAAGAAAUCCGUCAAUGGGGUUUAUCAAAUCCCCUCGACAAAACUUUCUCGAAUCACAAAAGAGAACGGAGAAUUUUCAAAUAAUCACUAGGUCACCUCAAUGGGGAUAUGUAUCUCCCGAACAAGCAAAUCAUACUUCAUUUUGACACGAGGAAUAGGGCAUUCAAAGCACCCGAUAAGAAUCGACGAAGUUUUUUCGAUAACAUUGAUGCAAUGUACUCGAUAUUGUUUCUUCGGAAAGUGCACCGUAUGCUCAUUACCAUUGACAUCGAAAGUGACAUUGCCUUUGUUGCAAUCUAUAACAGCCCCUGCAGUGUUUAAAAAGGGUCUUCCGAGGAUGACCACCAUGGCAUCUUCCUCGGGAAUAUCCAAGAUAACAAAGUCUGUUAAGAUAGUGGUGUUAGCAACCACAAC